AAAGCUCCUCAAGUACCCUGGGGAUUUUGCAGCCAUCUGGAAUUUGCUGUCAUGCUGUGAUUUCUGCAGAGGUUUCUGCUCCUGCAUUAGAAACACUGUUUUCAUCACAAUGGAGAGUAAGAAAUCCAUUUUACAGUAGAGUUGACUCAGGAUUUCAAAACUGGAAUGAUUUAGGUGACAGCAGUUGGUGGAACAAACAUCCUGAAAUCUCCACUGUGGCCAAUGACUUUGUACGUUGUUGUUGUUAUUGUUGUUUAAAUAGCAGUUCCAAAUAUCAUGAGAUGU